rnacentral:SRP_RNA from 2 species
GGGCAGGUCCCAUAUGACUUUUAGUUUUCCAAACCCUGUCAGGUCCGGAAGGAAGCAGCAGUAGGAAGACGGAGUGCAUUGUGGGGAAGCUUGCCCCGU